rnacentral:rRNA from 1 species
GACGAACGCUGGCGGCGUGCUUAACACAUGCAAGUCGAACGGUGAAGCGCCUUCCUUUUUGGUGGGUGUGGAUGAGUGGCGAACGGGUGAGUAACACGUGAGUAACCUGCCCCCUUCUUCUGGAUAACCGCAUGAAAGUGUGGCUAAUACGGGAUAUUCUGGGUCUGUCGCAUGAUGGGUCUGGGAAAGAUCUUGUUUCGGUGGGGGAUGGGCUCGCGCCCUAUCAGCUUGUUGGUGGGGUGAUGGCCUACCAAGGCGGUGACGGGUAGCCGGCCUGAGAGGGUGGUCGGCGGCCCUAGAACGAAGGAGAGACCCAGAAGCCUACGGGAGGCAGCAGUAGGGAAGAUUCUGGCAUAGGCGGAAGCAUGACGGAGCAACGACGCGGGAGGGAUGAAGGACUCCGGAUCGUAGAAAUCUUUUAUUGGGGAAGAAGCAAGGUGGAAGUGACUGUGCAUGGGUUGACGGUACCUAAACAAAAAGCGACGGCUAACUACGUG